GAUGAACGCUGGCGGCGUGCCUAAUACAUGCCAGUCGAGCGAACAGACGAGGAGCUUGCUCCUCUGACGUUAGCGGCGGACGGGUGAGUAACACAUGGAUAACCUACCUAUAAGACUGGGAUAACUUCGGGAAACCGGAGCUAAUACCGGAUAAUAUAUUGAACCGCAUGGUUCAAUAGUGAAAGACGGUUUUGCUGUCACUUAUAGAUGGAUCCGCGCCGCAUUAGCUAGUUGGUAAGGUAACGGCUUACCAAGGCAACGAUGCGUAGCCGACCUGAGAGGGGGAUCGGCCACACUGGAACUGAGACACGGUCCAGACUCCUACGGGAGGCAGCAGUAGGGAAUCUUCCGCAAUGGGCGAAAGCCUGACGGAGCAACGCCGCGUGAGUGAUGAAGGUCUUCGGAUCGUAAAACUCUGUUAUUAGGGAAGAACAAAUGUGUAAGUAACUAUGCACGUCUUGACGGUACCUAAUCAGGAAGCCACGGCUAACUACGUG
rnacentral:rRNA from 1 species